UUUAGACCUAUUAAUUACGCCGGUCAAUACAAUCUAUCGAUUAAAAUCCAAGGAAUUUGGCGGUAUCUUAUACAAUCAGGGGAACCUGUACCUUAAUUUGAUAAUCCACACACCUCAAACUACACCUCGAAUGUCAGCCUGUGUAUUGCUGUCGCCAGUGAACCUCUAAAAGCUAAGUUUGCCAUCAUAUUAACCAUAAAGACGUCAAGUCAAAAUGCAGCCAAUGGUGUAGAGGACUAUGGGUUACAAUUUGCAUAUAAACACAAAUUAUUAUAAUAAAAAUAAUAUGAAGGUGGACUUGUCAGUAAUAUUUAUAAAAAACUAAUAUAAACAGAAUCUAAGAUAUGUACACAUCGCCCGUCACUCUCAUUUGAUAA
rnacentral:rRNA from 1 species